rnacentral:rRNA from 1 species
AAAAACUCGUACCUUUUGCAUCAUGAUCUAGCCAGUACACCCAAGCAAAGAGAACUCUAGUUUGUAACCCCGAAACCUACGACGAGCUACCUCAAGGCCGCCUAAAACAGGGCAAACCCGUCUCUGUGGCAAAAGAGUGGGAAGACCUUCAGGUAGAGGUGAAAAGCCUACCGAGUCAGGUCAUAGCUGGUUGCUUAGAAAAUGAAUAGAAGUUCAGCCUCAUGCCGCCCCUAACCAAUCCUACCCCAUUAAAACAGGAACUAGGGCCACUCCUGAGAGUUAGUUGAAGGAGGUACAGCUCCCUCAACAAAGGACACAACCUUUAUAAGAGGUUAAGGAAUAUACUCAACCAAAAGGCUUAAAAGUCCUAGUAGGCCUAAAAGCAGCCACCUAAACAGAAAGCGUUAAAGCUUAAACCAAAAAAAGCCUAAUAUCAUAUUAAACCCUCCAACACCCUUACCAAUCAUACUAAGCCAUUUUAUGCCACCAUAAAAGAGACCAUGCUAGAACAAGUAAUAAGAAGAAUGAACUUCUCCCAGCACAUGUGUAAGUCGAAUCGGACAAACCACCGACAAUUAACGAACCCAAGAACAGAGGAAACUACGAGACCAACUAGAAAACCAAGAAAAACACGUCACACCUAAAUCGUUACCCCUACACAGGAGUGCAAAACCUCAAAGGAAAGACUAAAAGGAUAAAAAGGAACUCGGCAAACCAAAACCCCGCCUGUUUACCAAAAACAUCGCCUCCUGCCCAUAAC